GACAUGCUCAGUAGCACAGGGGAAGGGUUCAAGGUUCUUUCCAGGACAGCUGACCAGUCAAUAAAACACCAUUCAGAGAGUGGAGCAAAGCCAGGCAUGGACUGCCCGGGGGCAAACACACAGGUCCCUUGGGCAGUGGGGCAGGCAGCAGACAAUUGCUGGAAGUGCUGGGCAGAAUUGUCACUGCCUGGAAGAGUCAUAGUAAGUCAUCAGCUGGUGCUUUUUACUAUGCGAUUGGAAACCGUCUUCAGUGCUUUCUAUACCUGAAUCUCACUGACGUCUUAUAAGAAGAGCAUGGUGGAAAUACUAGUAAUAUGCCUUGGAGAAGUCAAGUAGUUUGCCCAAGGUGGCACAGAGAACAAACUGUUGGAGCUCAAGUUUGAAACCAGCCUCCCCUUUCUACCUCUAUGCUGGGGGUUAGGACACUACAGCCCGAGGACCAGGGAAUAAGGAGUUCUUGAUUAUAUGGGAUCUGAUCAGACCUGGUUUUAGAAGGACCCCUUCAAGGAGGGUGUGUGAAGGUGGAGAGAUGGGAAGAGGAAUGGCCUGGAGAGAACCAGUGGCUGCUGCGCUCUGCAGGAUCUGAGACCAUGAGCUCCUGAGCUCAGGACGGAGCUGAGGGGCAGCUGGAGUGGCUGUGCUCUCUUCCAUGAGAGCCAACGCAUGGUGGGCUUCCUGGCUCUCUUGCCAGCCCAGCGGGGUCACGGAGAAGCCUGCCAUUGGGGUCUGGAUCUGCUUCUCGAUACCUACUUGAAGACAAAUCAAAGAUCCUGAAGAGAGCUCUGGGCUCCUGGCCACUGAGUAGAGUCCACUGGGCAGUGUGAACUCUCCUCUGGCCCCUCCAGUCUCUGGGGGAUCAGCAAGAAAUGACUGGAAACUACACCAGACUCUGGGAGCAGGUCUUGCUAAUUGAGAUAAAAAUUUUGUCCCCCAGUAAGAGAUCUUAUAGUUAAAAAGUUGCUAAGUUUCAUAAGGGAGAAUAUUCUAGUCUUUUAUUUCCAAAUUCUCUCUAAGGAUAUAUCCAAUGUGGAAUUGCUUGAAUAAUGAGGAUGAAUACCACACUGUUUAAUUAUAGCCCAAUAAAAAUAUAAAUAAGAUUGUCA